AGAUUUUUUUUUCUUUCUUUACUUCCAUCAGCGAUUAGCAAGAGUAUAAAAUGCAGUUCAGUCGCGACAUCAAAUCAGUCUCUAUUGUGAAUUAAACAGCAAAAAGUUGCUAAUAAAUUGCAAAAUGAAUAUUCUUGUGAUCACAAUGGCUCUCAGUGCGAUUUUUCACUUUUAUUGAAUGGUCCGUGAUUUUUCACGGACUUCAUUCCAGCUGGGAAUACCCAAAAGGAUAAAAUGUUGCGCGAAUCUCAGAACAAUAAAUGCUACUUCAUGGACUUCUUGCCACUUCCACUUCGACAUCCGCCAGACAGAUCAUGUCCUGAAGGAUAUUACAUGCACGAAGAAGCAUGUCACUACUCAAGAGUCGUUGUGGAACAUCUCGUGAGUGAAAGUACUCCAAAAAAACACCCCAAAAUCACAUUAAAAA